GGACCGAGAAGUUACCCAAAACCUCAACUGGUCACUUUGUGAACCAUAAGUGAUUAGGUAGCUCGCGAGAGCAACCUAGUUCGGUCUCGAAUUCCUGGGGAAUUCUGCCUAUUUAACCACUACAUCAGACGCAAUGGAAACGCGGUAGCUAGGUUGCGCGUUACCUCCAGAUUGGCAUCAGAUAUUCGUUAGGGUAAUCGGGGAAUACUGAACGCCAUAGUAAGGAAAAUAGGCCUCUAUCGACGAUGUGACGUGACGCACAUCGCAGCAAC
rnacentral:sRNA from 1 species